rnacentral:rRNA from 1 species
UACGGAGGAUCCGAGCGUUAUCCGGAUUUAUUGGGUUUAAAGGGUGCGCAGGCGGGGGAUUAAGUCGGCGGUGAAAUUUUGCAGCUCAACUGUAAAAGUGCCUUCGAGACUGGUUUCCUUGAGUGUAGAUGAAGUAGGCGGAAUUUGUGGUGUAGCGGUGAAAUUCAUAGAUAUCACGAGGAACUCCGAUUGCGAAGGCAGCUUACUAAGCUACUACUGACGCUCAGGCACGAAGGCGUGGGGAUCAAACAGGAUUAGAUACCCGCGUAGUCCCU